UUUGACCCCCCGAAACUAGGCGAGCUACUUUUAAACAGCUCAUGAGCCAACCCGUCCCCGUAGCAAAGGGGUGGGAAGAUUUAAAAGUAGAGGCGACACACCUACCGAGCCCAGAGAUAGCUGGUUAUUUAGAAAGAGGAUUUAAGUCCAUCUUUAAGUUUUUUCAGUGCACUCAAACCCACCACAAACUUAAAAGUCAUUCAAAUAGGGUACAGCCUAUUUGAACAAGGAAACAGCCUACAAUCUAGGGUAACACCCACUUCAAGUGAUCAGGUAGGCCUAAGAGCAGCCAACCUUCAAAAAGCGUCUAAGCUUCACCACGGGUCGUCCACAAUACCACCAUUUACCCCCAACCCUAAACCACUACUAAAUGACUCUAUACCUGUAUAGAGAACAUUCUGCUAGAACUAGUAACAAGAAGAAGAACUUCUCCUAAAUAGAAACAUAAGCCACAGUGAACAACUCACUGGCACUUACCGCCGCUAAACCUACAGUAACAACACCACAAGAGAACCUUACUCCGCUCAGCGUUAACCUUACACAAGACUAUUACAGGAAAGAUUAAAAGGGGGGGAAGGAACUCGGCAAAUAUCAGCUCCGCCUGUAA
rnacentral:rRNA from 1 species